AUCCUCUCUGGGUCACUCCUGGAGAGUUUCCAGUAUUCUGCCAGUCUUGACUAUGGGAGGGAGAGUCAAGCAGAGGCCUACCCAUUCCGUUCCUAACUUGGGCAGUGGCUAGCGAGUGGAAGGCCAUCUGUAACAAGU